UACGAAGGGGGCUAGCGUUGCUCGGAAUCACUGGGCGUAAAGGGUGCGUAGGCGGGUCUUUAAGUCAGGGGUGAAAUCCUGGAGCUCAACUCCAGAACUGCCUUUGAUACUGAGGAUCUUGAGUACGGGAGAGGUGAGUGGAACUGCGAGUGUAGAGGUGAAAUUCGUAGAUAUUCGCAAGAACACCAGUGGCGAAGGCGGCUCACUGGCCCGUAACUGACGCUGAGGCACGGAAAGCGUGGGGAGCAAA
rnacentral:rRNA from 1 species